rnacentral:rRNA from 1 species
AUUGAACGCUGGCGGCAUGCUUUACACAUGCAAGUCGAACGGUAACAGGGAGCUUGCUCCGCUGACGAGUGGCGAACGGGUGAGUAAUGCGUCGGAACGUGCCGAGUAGUGGGGGAUAACGCAUCGAAAGGUGUGCUAAUACCGCAUACGUACUGAGGUAGAAAGUGGGGGACCUUCGGGCCUCACGCUAUUCGAGCGGCCGACGUCUGAUUAGCUAGUUGGUGAGGGAAAGGCUCACCAAGGCGACGAUCAGUAGCGGGUCUGAGAGGAUGAUCCGCCACACUGGGACUGAGACACGGCCCAGACUCCUACGGGAGGCAGCAGUGGGGAAUUUUGGACAAUGGGCGCAAGCCUGAUCCAGCCAUGCCGCGUGUCUGAAGAAGGCCUUCGGGUUGUAAAGGACUUUUGUCCGGGAGCAAAUGCCUGGUGUUAAUAGCAUCGGGAGCUGAGAGUACCGGAAGAAUAAGCACCGGCUAACUACGUGCCAGCAGCCGCCGUAAUAC